rnacentral:misc_RNA from 1 species
AUAAGAUUGACCCUCGGGUCCUUCAUCCUUCAAACCUGUGGAAGUGAGACGUGCUUCGGCGCCUCUGGGCGUCGAAUCUAUGCUGAUUAGCUUGUGUCUGAAGAAAACAAAAAUUUA